GACGAACGCUGGCGGCGUGCUUAACACAUGCAAGUCGAACGGAAAGGCCCUGCUUUUGUGGGGUGCUCGAGUGGCGAACGGGUGAGUAACACGUGAGUAACCUGCCCUUGACUUUGGGAUAACUUCAGGAAACUGGGGCUAAUACCGGAUAGGAGCUCCUGCUGCAUGGUGGGGGUUGGAAAGUUUCGGCGGUUGGGGAUGGACUCGCGGCUUAUCAGCUUGUUGGUGGGGUAGUGGCUUACCAAGGCUUUGACGGGUAGCCGGCCUGAGAGGGUGACCGGCCACAUUGGGACUGGGAUACGGCCCAGACUCCUACGGGAGGCAGCAGUGGGGAAUAUGGCACAAUGGGCGGAAGCCUGAUGCAGCAACGCCGCGUGCGGGAUGACGGCCUUCGGGUUGUAAACCGCUUUCGCCUGUGACGAAGCGUGAGUGACGGUAAUGGGUAAAGAAGCACCGGCUAACUACGUG
rnacentral:rRNA from 1 species